UGGGGCGUCGGCAAGUGGUAAGCCACAUGGUUUUGGUCCAUGCAUUCAGGGGUUCGAAUCCUCUCGCCCCAGCCA
rnacentral:tRNA from 1 species